UUAUGUUAAUUUUUUUCUUUAUACCUUUUAAAUUUGAGCCUGUUUUCUCUCAGAGUGUUUCCUCCUUAUCCUUAUCUCAACUUGAGUGUUUUUUCCUUCUCUUCUCUGCCCAGCUGUAGCAGAAGAGAGGAAGCCAAUGAUUUUUGUGAGUACCUGGCACUUAGCUAGCAUCAAACCAUGACACUUGCCCAGAAGGCUCUUGCUGACUUUUACCUGAGCUGGAUGAAGCCAGAGGCCUCAAAGCAGGUGAACACGAAGGGGCUUAUGUAAUCAUGGUGCCAAAAAUGUGAGUGUAAGACAACAGAGUCCGGGUGCGAAUUUAAAGCAAAGGAUGUGUAGAGUUGCUUUUAUAAACCAGGAAUGCCACUUUCUAUUCUCUUCAAGUAAGAGUAACACUGGUUACAACAACACAAGGGCCAUGGUUUUUUUCAAAUGUUGAAGAUCUGCAAUCUGGAUUAAUUUUGGAUCAUGCCCCAUAUCAGAAUGUGGUCAUCCAGGGCUCUUACCUACCUCAAUCACAAUUUUCAAAGUUUAUCUGGAGUCCUGGAUUAACUGGAUGUUAUCUGAACAGGAAUACUUUUAAUGUCUCACCUUUGAAAGAUAAAGAAUUAGAAAUCCAAAACUUCUUCAUCAGUACAAGGAAUGUGCAGGAUGGGAGGCAGUGAGCCCAAAUCCAUAAAGCAUUAUGAGGAAGGUUGCCAUGACUGCAUCUGUGUCCCUGUCCCACUGCUGCCCAUUCCUCCAGCUGGGACUGAGCCAAGCUGAGUGGAGCUGGAGAGAGCCGAGCCCAGAGGAGUGGAGCAGUCUCAAUGCAGAUAGUCUGACUUUUCUGGGAUGGGGGGGUUUACUUCAAUAUUUUUGUUGCCUUGGGCUCAGGGAAGGGGAACAUCAACUGCAGAGAGCACCCAUCAUCUUGUUUUUGUCUCGAGAAUAAACGUGCAGAGCUGCAGGAUUAGCUGCCACCUUGGUUUUUGUCUUGUUGGCCACGUGGAACUGAGUCAAGGGGCAAGGAUACCUGUGUUCAGGAAAAACAGAAGCCUCUGUGCACAAGAAUGGAUUUAAAUGGAUCUCAUGUAAAAAUGCAGUGGGUGGAUGCCAGGCAGAAUGAUUACCUGAUUUUGUACCUCUGCCCUAUCAGAGAACUCUGUGCAGGAAGAGCAGAAGAGAAUCACGGACACUGUGACUGGCAGAUAAGACUUUAUUUUCCAGUGUGUUGCCUCAACAAAAUAUCUGAAGACCUCUUUUGAUUCGUCCCAGAAGCCACAAAAGGAAUAAUCCACCAGAGUUAACUCCAGUUGUAUUAAAGAGCUACAUUGUCUUCAAAAUUUCUUUUUCCACUCCAAACAUGCUACCCAAGAAAAUACUAGAAAUGACAGAAACAGAAGCUUUAUAAGGUGCCACUUGGAGCUGUAAUCAAGCUGUUCCUAAUAACUUCAAGAAAGAACUGCUUGCCAUGGUGCCUGGAGGCUGUGCACUGCCAAUCAUCUCUCCUAAUUUAAUGCUGGAGUCAUCCAACUUUCCAGCAUGGAAGGCACACAUCAGCAAUAUGUUGUCACUAGGGUACAACAAAAAUUUAGAUUUCUAGGUCAAGAUUUAUACUUGGUUACAGUUUAACAAACAAACAAACAAAAACCUCGUUGACAUUUACAAUACAUGUCAUCUCAGUCUAUUAAAAAGAGCAAAAACUCUCUGCUCCCAAACAAGGAACCUAAACAAUACAGUUUUUACAAAGAUAAGGCCACGAAACAAUUAUAUCAUUCUACUGCAUGAUAUAAUUAUAUCAGGUUC